CCUGUCUCCAAAUAUGGUUACAUUCUCAAGUCCUAGGGGGUUAGAAUUUCAACAUAUAAAUUUUUAGGGGAACACAAUUCACCCCAUAACAUCUGGAGAUGAAGUUUUAUGGAUCUUAAAAGUCUUUAGCUCCUAUUUGAGUCAGUGCAGGCUACUGCCUCUCAGGAAAGAUGAGUCCCAAAUGUGUCCCCAAGACCACACUAGCACUACCUGACACACACCCUGGGCUCUUCUUGUUUUACUUCAGCUACAGCUUUGUCACCUCUGCUCCUCACAAGGCUGCUGGCAGAAGGCUCACUGUGGCCACCAGCCUCUGGGAUCUCCAGAGUCUGUGUCCAGGGUGCAGUGUCUGCUCCCACAGCUGCCAGUCCUUGGGGUGUCUCAGCCAUGUUCCCAACCACACUUGUCAUCUCAAGUCCUGAAGCAGCUCUGCCUGUACUUAAAAUCUCAGUCUUCUCGACUAACUCACUCAGCUCCAGCCUCCAGCCCUUCACUGCACAGGGACCCCAAACCAGUCCACGGGAUUUGGAGGAGAGACUUCACUCUGCCUUCUCCAGCCUUCUCUCCCCUCCACCUCAGCCUGUCCAUCCUAGAAAAUUUCCUCUCUCUAAUCACAGUUUCAAGACAGGGACUUUACUCCUGAAGAAUGGAAUGAAGAAUUUGAUUUUUCAAUACCAGUUUUCUGAAUGAUCAGCCUGUAGCCAUCUACAGAUAUGAGGCCAUAACCCCACCACGACCCUGGAAUCUGGAGAGCAUCUCUUAGGAUUCACAUCUUACAAAUGAGAAAACUGAAGGUCAAAAAGCUUUAAAGACUUGCUUAAAAGUCUCAUCACCUGAAGAUAAAACCAGUUAUAAAACAGAGGCCUGUGGACCGCCAGUCCUUUGAUCUGAGGCACAUGGCCUUGAACUGCCAAAGUGUAAUUCUCUGGGUAAGGGAAAUGCAGCUAUAGAUAUGGAGAUAUGAAGUGACUUGUUGGUGACAGUCAAAUAAAUGGUGGAUGAGCCAGGACUCAAAUUCAUGUUUCCUAAAUUUUUU
rnacentral:lncRNA from 1 species